rnacentral:rRNA from 1 species
GGGCCCGCACAAGCGGUGGAGUAUGUGGUUUAAUUCGAUGCAACGCGAAGAACCUUACCAGGGUUUGACAUCCUGCGAAUCUCUUGGAAACGAGAGAGUGCCUUCGGGAGCGCAGUGACAGGUGGUGCAUGGCUGUCGUCAGCUCGUGUCGUGAGAUGUUGGGUUAAGUCCCGCAACGAGCGCAACCCACGUCUUUAGUUGCCAGCAUUAGUUGGGCACUCUAAAAAGACUGCCGGUUAUAAACCGGAGGAAGGUGGGGAUGACGUCAAGUCAGCAUGCCCCUUACACCCUGGGCUACACACGUGCUACAUUGGGCGAGACAAUGAGAUGCAAAUCUGUGAAGACUAGCUAAUCUAUAAACUCGUUCUA